GACGAACGCUGGCGGCGUGCUUAACACAUGCAAGUCGAACGAAGAGCGAUGGAAGCUUGCUUCUAUCAAUCUUAGUGGCGAACGGGUGAGUAACGCGUAAUCAACCUGCCCUUCAGAGGGGGACAACAGUUGGAAACGACUGCUAAUACCGCAUACGAUCUAAUCUCGGCAUCGAGGAUAGAUGAAAGGUGGCCUCUACAUGUAAGCUAUCACUGAAGGAGGGGAUUGCGUCUGAUUAGCUAGUUGGAGGGGUAACGGCCCACCAAGGCGAUGAUCAGUAGCCGGUCUGAGAGGAUGAGCGGCCACAUUGGGACUGAGACACGGCCCAGACUCCUACGGGAGGCAGCAGUGGGGAAUCUUCCGCAAUGGACGAAAGUCUGACGGAGCAACGCCGCGUGAGUGAUGACGGCCUUCGGGUUGUAAAGCUCUGUUAAUCGGGACGAAAGGCCUUCUUGCGAAUAGUGAGAAGGAUUGACGGUACCGGAAUAGAAAGCCACGGCUAACUACGUG
rnacentral:rRNA from 1 species